rnacentral:rRNA from 1 species
UNUGACUUGAGUGCAGAAGGGGAGAGUGGAAUUCCAUGUGUAGCGGUGAAAUGCGUAGAUAUAUGGAGGAACACCAGUGGCGAAAGCGGCUCUCUGNUCUGUCACUGACGCUGAGGCUCGAAAGCGUGGGUAGCGAACAGGAUUAGAUACCCUGGUAGUNCACGCCGUAACCGAUGAGUGCUAGGUGUUAGGCCCUUUCCGGGGCUUAGUGCCGGAGCUAACGCAAUAAGCACUCCGCCUGGGGAGUACGACCGCAAGGUUGAAACUCAAAGGAAUUGACGGGGGCCCGCACAAGCGGUGGAGCAUGUGGUUUAAUUCGAAGCAACGCGAAGAACCUUACCAGGUCUUGACAUCCCGAUGCUAUUCUUAGAGAUAGGAAGUUACUUCGGUACAUCGGAGACAGGUGGUGCAUGGUUGUCGUCAGCUCGUGUCGUGAGAUGUUGGGUUAAGUNNNNNNACGAGCGCAACCCUUAUUGUUAGUUGCCAUCAUUAAGUUGGGCACUCUAGCGAGACUGCCGGUAAUAAACCGGAGGAAGGUGGGGAUGACGUCAAAUCAUCAUGCCCCUUAUGACCUGGGCUACACACGUGCUACAAUGGUCGGUACAACGAGUUGCGAGCCGGUGACGGCAAGCUAAUCUCUGAAAGCCGAUCUCAGUUCGGAUUGGAGGCUGCAACU